UCGAGGAUCUUCGGCAAUGGGCGCAAGCCUGACCGAGCGACGCCGCGUGUGGGAUGAAGGCCUUCGGGUUGUAAACCACUGUCAGAGGGGAUGAAAUGCGCGCGGGUUCUCUCGCGUGUUUGACAUAUCCUCAGAGGAAGUACGGGCUAAGUUCGUGCCAGCAGCCGCGGUAAGACGAACCGUACAAACGUUAUUCGGAAUCACUGGGCUUAAAGGGUGCGUAGGCGGCGGCGCAAGUUGGGUGUGAAAUCCCUCGGCUCAACCGAGGAACUGCGCUCAAAACUGCGUCGCUUGAGGAAGAUAGAGGUGAGUGGAACUUAGGGUGGAGCGGUGAAAUGCGUUGAUAUCCUAAGGAACACCAGUGGCGAAAGCGACUCACUGGGUCUUCUCUGACGCUGAGGCACGAAAGCUAGGGUAGCGAACGGGAUUAGAUACCCGCGUAGUCC
rnacentral:rRNA from 1 species